GGCAGGCGCAGGCGCAGGCGUGGGCUUUCGGUCGUGAUGUGCUGGGAAACCGAGGCCACCGGAGACGGGCGGAGAAUCAAGACGGACGACGACGAUGAUGAUGAGCCCGGGGGAAUCUUCCAGAGCCCAGCUCCGAGGGGUCGGGGCUUUAUUCGGACCUUUGACGGCACCUCGACUUCACAUUAUUGACGCGUAACUUCUGGGCUACGUGACUGGGGACUGCCGGCGGAAAAUGACGGAAGCAAAGACAGAAACGGAGAGACCGAGAGGAGGGAGGGAGAAGAGAAGAGGAGAAAAGAAAAUGGCAGGAGCUCCGGGAGUUCGCCCAUGACUGCACUGACCGGAUAGCAUUGUAAGCAGGGUGCAGCUGCCUAGACCAGGAGAGCCAGGGCCACGCUGCCCCAGAGGAAGGUUUGCACAAUAGAAACUGCAACACGGGUUGUGGCCUUGGGGCCAAGGGGCUUUAGAGCCCCUAGGUUGCUUAGAGGAAAACGGACUGGGGACCCAGGAAGGAGGGAUGAUGAGAGUGGAGAUAAGGAAACUGUCCUUGUUAAACAGCUCUUGCUGGAAAGGGAGUGACAUAGGUUAUUCUGAAGCGAGAUGAGUGGGCGGGAACGCAGAUUCAGGGACCUUGAAUGGCACAUUCCACUGUGGAAGAAGUUACAUGAUGGACAUGUUAUGGUUCAGUGAGAGGGUUAGUGAAGGCUGUAGGACCUUUAAAACUGGGCUUUGAUGGGCAGCCUGCCCAACAUGGAUUUGGAAAAUGCUUAAGAUAUUUGUUAGCUGCAGGUGGUUCUGGAUGGCUUAGGAAUAGGGAGAAGUACGGUCAGUGGCUUCAACUGGUGAUGUAAGCCAUAAAAGGUCUGGGGUAGGAUAGAAUUCAUGUCCCUGUGUCCCAUAUACAGAAUGAGAUGCACAAAGGUCAGGGAGAUGAGUUAUUUUGUUUGUUUGUUUGUUUGUUUGUUUGUUUUUGAGGUAGGGUCUCACUGUAGCUCAAGCUGACUUGAGCUCUCAGGGUGGCCUCGAACUCAUGACAUUCCUCCUACCUCUGCCUGGAAUUAAAGGCAUGCACCACUGCGCCCAGCCAGGAAGAAAACUUUUGUGUGAGGUUUUUGGUUGAGCAUGGAGGUUGAAGAGGCACAUUAUUAAGAAGGAUCAGAGGUCAAGACUCCAUCCAGAAAACCCACCCUUGUAGGGGUGUGGCUCAGCCAUGAAAGACAUUUUGAUGCUGGCUGAGCAGCAGGGGAUAGAUUUCAGGGACAAACUGCAUUCUUGUGGAGCAUGUGGGACACAACUCUCUUCAGUACAAGCAUCUCCAACAUCAGAAAGAGCACUGUGAGAGGAAAGACCUCAGUGGUUAUGAAGGCGGGGCCUCUUGUGUCAAGGACAGAGUCACGUGCCACAACUUCCUUUCAUACAUGAGGAGUGUGGGAAAAGCGUAUCCAAGUCAGGCCUGUUCCAGUGUGACAAAGGCAGCUUGCCCAUAAGCUCUGGGCACUGGCAGUCCUCUGUUGCUGGAGACAGACAUGACAGAUGUAGUGAAUGUAGAGAAGCUUCCAGCCCUGGAAAUAAGCUUCCUGAGCACACAAGUGUUCACGAAAGAGAAAGGCCUGACAAGUGCACUUUGCGUUGAGAGUAUGUGCCAGAAGAGCCCAUCUUGUUCAGAGUAAGAAAGCUCACACUGGGGAAAGGCCUUAUGCCUGCAGCAAAGGUGGGAAGCCUGUGGACGCAAACACUUGCUGCUUCAGCAUGAGAGCACUCUGGAGAGAAGCCUAUGAGUGCAGUGAAUGUCGCAAAUUGUUCAGCCAAGACUCUAGCCUUCUUGUACAUGGGAAAGUUCACAUGGAGAACGGCUUUAUGAAUGCAGUGGCUAGGAAGUGUUUUGACCAGUAUUCAGACCUUACUGUAUACAAUAGAGAUCAGAUUAUACCAAGACCUUAUACCUGUGCAGAAUGUGGUUAGCUACAAACACCAGCUUGUUCAACAUCAGAAAGUUCACACUGGAAAAACACUGCAUGAGUGUACUGAAUGUGGGAAAACUGAAGAGAUGGAGGCUUGUUGGUCACCAUGAAAUCCACAGUAAAGGAAGCCCAUAUCAGUGCAAUGAAUGUGGGAAAUCUUUGACAAAGGUAUGGCCUUAAUUGACAUGGGAAAAUUCACAUGGGGUCAACACCUUUUAAAUGGAGUGGAUGCAGAAAAUUUUGUAGCUAUAAAAACCCACUUGUCUGCCAAUAGAGAAUCCACACUGGAGAAAGUCCUUAAAAAUGCACUGAAUGUGGAAAGUUCUUCAGCCCAAGAUCUGGCCUUACUGCACAUCAAAGAAUCCACACUGGUGAAAAGCCUUAUGAGUGCAUUCACUUGGGAAAUGUUUUAGCCAAAAAUCCUCCCUCAGUUUGCAUCAGAGAAUUCACACUGGGGAAAAGCCUCAUCAGUGUGGGAAGUGUAGGAAAUCCUUCAGCCGCAAAUCCCGCCUCCUUACACCUCAAAGCCAUCACUUUGGAAGAAUCUUUGAGCCAAUGGAUUUCCCUUCUUUGGCACCAGAAAGUUCACCUGGAAGAAAGGCCUUGGAGUGUGAGGAACAUGAUACCUGUUUAAUCAACAUAAUGAGUGACAAACACCAAACAAGUUCUGAGAGCAGCCUUUGUGAAGUAGCCAUUAAACACAAGUUGACACUCAAUCUGGACACCCACACUGGUAACUGGCUGUGGGUGCCAGAUAUGUGGGAAGAUCCAGGAGCUCUAUUGUAAUUUAUAACCUUCCUGAAGCCUUUUUGGCCUGAGUUAUGUCACUCAGUACAGUGGCCCGGAGCCAUCCAACCUCUAACCACUGGCAUCUAUCAAGUGCCACAAUGUGUUCAGAAAAGCCCAACUUCCUAGAGGAAGUAUGAGCAGUGUGAGGCCACUAGAGUCUCUUUUUAUCCACACACCGGAUGUGAUGAGUAGAGAUGUGGACAGGAAAUUCUAGAGUGUCCCCCUCUAAGUAUUUCCAGAAAUGCUCUGAUCACUAGCUGGGAGAGAUGAGGGUUGACAGAAGCUCUCAGGACUUCCGGUAAUGUCUCUCUAGACGAGUCACUAAACUAGCAAAUACUCUAUUGUUUCUGGAUUCCCAAGAGUACACAUGCUAUUCACUACAAAACAUUAGCUCUGUAGGCAAGAGAGUAGAGAGAGAAGAGGAGAGAGUCAAGUUCAAGGCUGAAGACUCAAGAGGCAACCUUUAUUGCUUUUAUUUCCUUUGAAGCCAAGAUGCCUCCUCCAAAAAGUGAGGAUAAUUAGGGUACAAUCAGUAUGUAUUUGCUAAACUUUCUAGUUUUUCUUUUAAUUUUUCUCUUUAUUGGUUGCUGAUUUAUUAAUUUAAUUAAUUUUGGUGUUUUUUGUUUUGUUUUGUUUUUCGAUGUACGGUCUCAUUCUACCAUAGGCUGACCUGGAAUUCACUCUGAAGUCUCAGUGAACCUUGAACUCACCGCAAUCCUUCUUCCUGUUCAUGUGCCACUACUCCUGACUUGUUUGAUGAUUUUUUUCUUAAUAACAGGUUGUACUCUUCGACCUCCCCAAUUCAGAGUAUCUUCUUAUUCUUUGUGGGGACCAGGAGGCACUUUGUGUCAGGGGGCUGAUUUCUCUUAUUUAUUUGUUUGCAAGCAGAGAGAGAAUGGCAUUCCAGGGCUUCUUGCUGCUGCAUAUGAACUCUAGAUGUGCAUGCCAGUUUAUACACCUGUCUUUAUGCAGGUACUGAGGAAAUGAACCUGGGCCAACAGGCUUUGUAAGCAAGUCCCUUUAACUUGCUGAGCCCAUCUCCCUAGAUCCAAAACUUUUCUGGUUUUUCAAGAGAAGCAGGAGAUCUGAACUAAUGUACUGAAAUAUAAAUAUUUAUUUAUUUAUGAGAAAGAGAGCUAGAGAAUGGGCACACCAGAGCCUCAAGCCACUGCUAACAAUUCCAGACACAUGCACCACCUUGUGCAUCUGGUUUAUGUGGAUACUGAGGAAUCAAACCUGCAUCCUUAGACUUCAUAGGCAAGCAUCUUAACUGCUAAUUCCUCUCUCCAGCCACUGAAUCAUUUCUUAAAAAUCUUUAAAAGCUCUUCUUGUCAGUUGUCGUAGUCCAUGCCUUUAAUCCAGCCCUAGAGAGAGAGAGGUAGGAGAACUGCAAUGAGUUUGAGGCCACCCUGAGACUAUAUAGUGAAUUUCAGAUCAGCUUGGGCUAGAGCCAGAUCCUACCUUGAAAUAUCUAGAAAAAACUUUAAAGUUCUAUUCAUAUAUGGUUGAUCUCUGUACACUAUGCAGAAAUUAAACUAUGAAAUGUGUAGAUUUUUAUCUAAUGUAUAAACUCAUGAAGUCGUCAUUGUGAUAAUGAUUACACAAUCACCCCAAGUGGUCUCUCAUCCCCGUUUAACUAAUAAUUAUUUUUAGCUUCUAACAGCCUAUUCCUGUGACCAUUGACUCACUUGUUUUUCUUGUCUACAAGUAUAUGCAGAUAAAGUACAGGGACUUUUUCCCCACACAACUAUGAAGUGUGCAUUAGAACAUGAAUAUUUCAUUGUUUUCUUAUAAGCCAGUGUUGUAUCAUUAGUCCACAACUUGUCUUUUCAUCACGUAGGAGACAUUUACAUCACUUCCCAUGUGGGGCCAUUACAACUAACACUGUUGUGAACACUCAUAUACAAGGCUUUCCCUUGAGUUAAUGUCCAGGACACAAAGACCUGAGUGUCACAUUUCUAACUACGUGAUUUUGCUUUAUAGAUGUGAUUGGUGACACAGAGGUCAAUACCCUUGUAAGAAGAACUUAGUGACAAGCAGGGCACACUAUGCCAUACAGAGCCACAUGGAGAGACCAAUGUUUGGAGGCAGAAAAGCAAUGUGAAAGGCUUCAUCUUUUUAUCAGGAAUUCCAUGAGCAGAGUAAAUAAUCUAGGAUUAGCUGGUUUGGCAUUCUAUUGAUAGCUGUCCCUGGGAUGCUAUUGGUUAGGAAAGAUACUGACUUGGGUGGGUGUUCAGUUAGAGGUAGUGGUUGCUUUGUAUUGUAUGUGACAGAUGUGUCUUUGAAUUUUGAGGUAGAGUCCUGUAGCCCAGGCUGACCUGGUAUUAUACUUGGGUUGGCCUUGAACUCAACAAUCCUCAGCUCAUGAGUGCUGGUAAUAAAGACAUGUGCCACCACA